UACGUAGGGUGCGAGCGUUUAAUCGGAAUUACUGGGCGUAAAGCGUGCGCAGGCGGUUCGUUGUGUCGGCGGUGAAAGCCCCGGGCUUAACCUGGGAAUGGCCGUUGAAACUGGCGAACUGGAGUGUGGCAGAGGGGGGUGGAAUUCCGCGUGUAGCAGUGAAAUGCGUAGAGAUGUGGAGGAAUACCGAUGGCGAAGGCAGCCCCCUGGGAUAACACUGACGCUCAUGCACGAAAGCGUGGGGAGCAAACAGG
rnacentral:rRNA from 1 species